rnacentral:RNase_P_RNA from 1 species
CGAGUUGGCUAGACAAUCGCUGUACCUUUGGGUAUAGAGGAAAGUCCGGACUCCAUAGGGUAGAGUGCCAGGUAACGCCUGGGGGGCGCGAGCCUACGGCAAGUGCAACAGAAAGUAUACCGCCGGCCUAGCCGGUAAGGGUGAAAUGGUGCGGUAAGAGCGCACCGCGUUGCUGGUAACAGUAGCGGCGAGGUAAACCCCACUCGGAGCAAGACCAAAUAGGGAUCCAAUGGUGUGACCCGCACUGGAUCCGGGUUGGUUGCUUGAGGUGUGUGGCGACGCACAUCCCAGUUGAAUGAUUGUCCACGACAGAAUCCGGCUUACCGGCCAGCUCGUUUC